rnacentral:rRNA from 1 species
UACAGAGGUCCCGAGCGUUGUUCGGAUUUAUUGGGCGUAAAGGGUGCGUAGGCGGCGGAGUAAGUUGGGUGUGAAAUCCCGAGGCUCAACCUCGGAAUUGCAUUCAAUACUGCUUCGCUCGAGUACUGGAGAGGAGGCUGGAAUUUACGGUGUAGCAGUGAAAUGCGUAGAUAUCGUAAGGAAGGCCGGUGGCGAAAGCGAGCCUCUGGACAGUUACUGACGCUGAUGCACGAAGGCCAGGGGAGCAAAACGGG